CCCCGGCCCCCGCCUCCGCGCGCCAUUCCUCGCAGUCCUCCGGCCGAGCGUCCCGCCAGCCGCGUCUCGGCCAUGGCGGGCCUGGGGCCGCGACCCGCCAAGGGCUACCGGGUGGUGCUGCUCGGGAGCGUGGCCGUGGGCAAGACGGCACUGGCCACGCAGUUCGCCUGCGGCAGCUUCCCGGAGCAAUGCGAGCCGUCGGUGGAGGAGCUCUUCAGCAAGGUGAUCGAGGUGAACGCGGCGCCCGCGCUGCUGGAGAUCGUGGACACGGUGGGCGCCGAGCACCUGGUCACCCUCAAGGACCUGUACAUCAAGAACAGCGACGGCUUCGUGGUGCUCUACAGCGUGUGCAGCGAGGCCUCGUUCGAGGCGGUGCGGCCGCUGCGGGAGCGCAUGGGCCGGCUGCGGGGGCCCAAGGCCGUGCCGCUCGUGCUGGUGGGUACCAAGGCCGACCUGGACGCCGAGCGCCAGGUGCUGACGGCGCGGGGCCGCGCGCUGGCCCGCGAGUGGCGCUGCCCGUUCCUGGAGGUCACGGCCAAGAGCAAACUGAUGGUGGACCAGGUGUUCACGCAGGUGGUGCGCGAGAUGGAGGCCCUGGCCCCGCCCGAGGAAGAGGCCCCGGCCCCCCCCCACCAACGCCCAGGAUACGUGGCCGUCGGAGAGAUUCAUUGGCUGAUACGCCACGGUUACUUUUGAAUACGUUCAGCGCUUUUCUGAGUUCUGAAGCUCAGCCUGCCUUCCCCGCUUUUUCAGGAAAGUUAUGCGGCCCAAGACAAGUGGUUGCUUCCGCGUAGUAACUCCGACCAGCGCCUCGAGCUGUUUGCAGAGCUUCUUACGUCCUUGGUGAAGACCCCGCCACUUUGUUUGCCUGUUACAGUGCUAUCGGGAGCCCCAAAUCGGUAUCUUUUUCCUGUAUGGAGAGAGUACCACCCUUUUCUUCAAAAGAGAUUUGUUACAGGAUUCCCCCCCGGCCCCUCCCCGCCUUUUUUGACAACGAACGCCUUCAGAUGCCAUCCGAUCUUUGAAAUGGAUUGAGGAACGUGAACUAAAAAGACUUUGGGCUUCGCAUUCCAUGAGGUUUUCGUGUGUUUCCCUCUGCUUUGCAGCCUCGAAGCGAGCGGUCAUAUUUUCCUCUCUGCGUAUUUCUAAAUAUAGUUAUGACACACGCAGCCGUGGUUUGAAAGGGAUAUUGUAUACCCUGGGAGGGGAGAAAUAACUUCUCACCCAGACGUCGCUCAGCUCUGCCUUCCCUUCUGUAACGGACAUCCAGUCGAUUUUGCAUCUGUAAAUUGAGUGAAAAUAAAGUGAUUUGAA